rnacentral:lncRNA from 1 species
UUAUCUUUAUCCUGCAAGAUCAAGGUUGUGGCUCUUUUUAUAUCUCAACCAUUAUCUGCUCCUCGUUCAAUCUCAUAGACAUUAAAUACAGAUAUAGGAGGCCUUGAGUGUUAUAUAUUUUUGCCUUAGAAGACAAUAUUCCUCCAAUUCUCAAAAUAUCGAGUGUUGUUCGACAAAUGGCGGAUUCUGUAAGUUUCCUUUCGUCUUUUAAAUAAUGGAGAUAAUUAUAAAUUUUUACCCAAUUUUGAUGAAAUUGGUGUGUGAUUGCUAUUUAUAGAUGUUUGCAAGUGUUGGGAACUUCGAGCUUCUUUAUGUGGUUUUCUUGGAGCAAGAAAGUCUCUGAAUUCAUCAAUUGGAUUGUAUGGGUAAACAUUUCUAGCUGUACUUAAAUGCUGAAAUACAUAUUGCACAAUACUCUUUUCUUACUUUUGCCUUUUUCCUUUGUCAUCCUUAAUAAAGGAACAGAUAGUGCAAGAUAUGAAUCAAUAGUGGUUUACCAAAUUUAUUAUUCCAAGUUGUUAGUGCAACUCAAUUUGUAAUAAUGAAACGAAUAAGUAUAAGAGAUCAUGGUUAAAUUUUGUGAAAUAGUCAUGUCAAUUCUAUCGAGCUGUAUGAUCACAAUGUAGUGGUUAAAGAGCUUCUGCUAAAGUGAUUGCAGCCUUGAUAAUAAACACAUUAGUAGAAAGUAGGGAAAUUAAUUACAGCAAGAAUUUUAUUACUUAGAAGUAAAAAUGCAAAGAUGGCAUCAUAAUGCAAUUAUCAUUUUCGUGGAAGAUGUGAUGAUCGAACACCUGAGCAAAUGUUUGGCUUUGACAAAAAAUAACAUCUCAAACUGAUUUGUUUAUCAAGCAUUUACAAGAUUUUGAUGUCUCAUUGAGUUUCCUAUUUUUCUGUAUUUCUAAUUAGUCCAUUCUUCUUUUGUGAGAAAAAAAAAAAAGAUUGAUUUACCUCUUGACUUGACCAGUAUAGAGAUAUAUUGCUAGGAAUCCUUGUUUCAAGUUACUUUUAAGAUUUUCUUUUGGCCACAAUGGUAUGUUUCUUAAUACUUGCUUAUAUAAUAAAUCCACGUAGUAACACAAGCAGAACUUGAUAUUACUUUUUAUCUAAAGUUAUACUUCUUCUCCUUUGAGCUCCAUAACUCAUGUGACAAGUAUUAUCCUGAUCGAUAUGUAAUAUGUAAUAUAUAUUAUUUAUCUUUCAAAAAAAAAUAUGUAGUAUGUAUUAUUUAUCUUAUGAACUAAAUUAAUAUGGAGCUUUCAUUUCAUAAAUAUGGGAAUUUAUUCCAUCUAUUGACUAUUGUAUUGUUGCGGACAAUUGAAAGCUAUUUUCAUGGGAUUUUUUGCAAGGAUAACUCAAACAUUCUUCGACCUGAAGGAGAAUCCGCGUAGAUGAUGUCUUAAGAUCUACAAGAAGACUUUAACCACCAGGUCCACCCUCAUAGUCCCCUCCAACGAUAUCUCGUAAUUCCAUGAUCUAUUCAAUCAGUAUACUAAUUUUGACGACCAUGAUGUUUUUAGCAAACUCCAACUUGACACUAAGGCACCUAUAGAAACUGCAUACACAUAUACACCCACCCCAAACAUUGUAUUGGUCCCCCUAAUUUUAUUUCUCGUCUAUGUUCUUCUAGGGUUUAUCCUUGAAGGUAUUUUAUGUUUACACUGGUGACAUAAUAGAAGGGGUUUCUUUUUGAAGGUUAGUUUCUUCCUUUUCCCAUUUACUAUCUAAUUUCUAUGUUCUCUUGUAUUUGUACGAGGCCAACAUUUUCUAAUUAUUACAUAAGAGAUUGCUAUUUUUGUUAAUUUGGAGUUCUCAGAGGUUUUUGUCUACCUGUAGACUCUAUAUUAAGAUGGGCAGUGGAGGUUUUCCUAGUAUCUUUCUGCUAUUGAUUAUACCAAAUGGCACGGUAGGUGUUUGAUAGGAUUUUAAAAUUUUAUUUUUUCCAGGUCGUUGUUUAAGCUUUUUUGUUUGCUUAAGUAGUUAUAUAUGGUAUCAAUUCUAUUUUUGUACUUUUUAUUCGUAUUUUUAUGGAAGAUUUGAAUAAAGGGGUUUUAUUGUUUAAUUUACAUGCCUUCAGAAUAGAAUUCUUUAAUUAUACACUGUAUUGUAUGAUGAUAAGAGACUCACCCAGAAUGUGAUGUCAUUGCAUGUACAACUUAGUCGAUGGUGCUGACUCAGGCAAUAUUUAUUGAAGGUUGUAAAUUAGUGGCUGCAAGAAUGAAUUAAUGGACUUGCUCA